rnacentral:rRNA from 1 species
GCUUGCACAGGUGCUGCAUGGCUGUCGUCAGCUCGUGUCGUGAGAUGUUGGGUUAAGUCCCGCAACGAGCGCAACCCUUAUUGCUAGUUACCAUCAUUAAGUUGGGGGAACUCUAGCGAGACUGCCAGUGAUAAACUGGAGGAAGGUGGGGAUGACGUCAAAUCAUCAUGCCCCUUAUGACCUGGGCUACAAACGUGAUACAAUGGCUGAAACAAAGGGCAGCGAAGGAGCGAUCUGGAGCGAAACCCAACAAAGCAGUCUCAGUUCGGAUUGAAGUCUGCAACUCGACUUCAUGAAGUCGGAAUCGCUAGUAAUCGCGGAUCAGAACGCCGCGGUGAAUACGUUCUCGGGGUUU